ncrna:unclassified sequences L31-Gammaproteobacteria ribosomal protein leader
CACGCGGUGUAAGUGGAAAGCAUUUAUAGCGGCGUGGCUUCAAUUUGAGGU